AAGUCAGAACUCACCUGUGCUUGCACAAAGGUGAAAGAACGACCUUAGGACAUGCCCGGAUAAUGAGCAUAAAAGCAAAGCGAAGCUUUGCGAUAUGCGAAUUAUGCGGUAGGAUUGCGAGAGUGCGAAGCACGUAGCAAUCCGG
rnacentral:sRNA from 1 species